rnacentral:piRNA from 1 species
UCCUGGGAUGGAUGAGGCUGCUGU